UACGGGGGGAGCGAGCGUUGAUCGGAAUUACUGGGCGUAAAGCGUCCGUAGGCGGCUUGUUAAGUCGGAUGUGAAAGCCAUGGGCUUAACCUGGGAACGGCAUUGGAUACUGGCGAGCUAGAGCUCGGUAGAGGGUGGUGGAAUUCCCGGUGUAGCGGUGAAAUGCGUAGAGAUCGGGAGGAACACCGGUGGCGAAGGCGGCCACCUGGACCGAGACUGACGAUGAGGCACGAAAGCGUGGGGAGCAAGCAGG
rnacentral:rRNA from 1 species